AGGGAGGAACUGAGUCUGUUCAACAAUAUAUCGAGAAUUCGCUGGAUUUUGAAGGAUCAAAAAAUGAUGUGAAAGGGUAUAUCAGUAAUAAGACUGAUGUGAAACCUUUCAGCUUUGACAAGAGGAAGUGUUCGCAAUUCUUCAUCACCAAUUCACUGUGGGACUCCAUGAAAGAAGAUUAAAUCUAACAAAGUUUCACCUUUCUAUGCAAUACACUUGAUUUACAUAAAGAAUUUAAAAAAAUUA